rnacentral:rRNA from 1 species
UACGGAGGGCGCAAGCGUUGUUCGGAAUUACUGGGCGUAAAGCGCGUGUAGGCGGCUUGGCAAGUCGGCUGUGAAAGCCCGGGGCUCAACCCCGGAGGGUCAGCCGAAACUGCCUCGCUCGAGUCCCGGAGAGGGUGGCGGAAUUUCCGGUGUAGAGGUGAAAUUCGUAGAUAUCGGAAGGAACACCAGUGGCGAAGGCGGUCACCUGGACGGUGACUGACGCUGAGACGCGAAAGCGUGGGGAGCAAACAGG